rnacentral:tRNA from 1 species
GGGGAUUUGGCUCAGUGGUAGAGCACUUGCCUAGCAAGCGCAAGUGCCUGAGUUCGGUCCCCA